ACACUAAAUAUGGCAGUUAGAAACAGAAACUGAGCGAAGAUGAUUUAAACAGCUUUGACAUCUAGUUAUAAAAGCAUAUAAACUAUUAUUCAUAUACACACACACAUACAUAAUUAUUUUUAAUAGGUAUUUGUCCACAGUACCUCAGCAUCUAUAUAAAUAUAAACAAGCCUUCAUUUAGUAUCAGCCAAUGGGAACGCUGGAUUUCAGUCAGUAUUACAUCCAAUCAGGGCUGGACUUUCUCCGCACUCACGCAAAUAUGCAUUAACGCUAAAGUCUAUGACUGUGCUGUGGUCAUGUCUUAAUUUCAUUGGAGAAGCUAGCUUGCUAACGUGUCUUAAAUGUAGUAAUAUAUACCAUAGUGGAGUUUAAAAAAAAACAACCCGUCAGCCAUACCUGUGACGUGGUUUAAGAGGAGAUAAGGUUCUACUGGAGGAAAACAGCCUUAUUUUUAAGUUAGCUAGCAGCUAACUUGCUCGAAAUUGCUAAUGCUAGCUAGCUUAACAGGUAGAGAGGAGACGCUUCAGUGAGUUUCACCCGAUGGAAACAAGUUAAAUGGAGCACCCAUCAAUGUAUCUACAGCAGCAAGCAGCUACCGCACUGUGUCAGGGGACCAUCUGCAGAUCAGAGUAAGGUGCCUCCAUCAAGGGCAGGGGCAAAAAGUGUUGUGUUCAAGGGCAUACCUUACGUUUCACUACAGAGGAAGGACAAGCUAUAUCAAGACAAAUGGCGCCUCAGCCUUUUUAACUGGGAUAAUUUGACAGCAGCCCCCUGCCUUCCUCUGACAGCUCUGAGGAGCUGGGGCUCAGCACCUGCGUCCACCCAAGCAUUAAACCUCAGAUCCUGAACUCUCCUCACAAAUGAACUGUCAGAUCAUUACUGCGCGUGAUGCAAUAUAAUCUGUCUCAGAAUUAACAUUUGGCCAAGUCCACACAGGGUUUUUUCUCCCAUCUCUCUCUUCCGUACAUCUAGCCCCCUCAGAAGGCACCGGUUUGAAUAUGCAUCUCUUCACAUUUCCAUGAGGGACCCACCGGGAGUACAGGCAGAGAGCAGCUUUCAGCAUUAGCAUGUCAGGAGGGAAGGGUCCUUUUCGUUCAGGGUCCCACUGCAGAUGCUAUGCCUCACUUGUUCAUUACAAUUGCAUUUCAUCAGCUUGAUGAUGUCCACAUGUCAAAUGAGUGUGAGGAUUUUGCACACAACGGAGCCUCUGGGAAAAGGACUUCGCUGGCUAAUCAGCUGAUUAUCAUACCUCAAAUGGGGCUGUAGUGCUCUGUUACAAAAGCCAGCCAGAGAGAACGAGGUGCAGGAGACAGGCAUACGACGGACGAGUCCAGAUAGGAAGGCAGCAAGCAAAGCUGAUUAACAAAGCUCUCUUAUGAACACACAUAGAGGAAUGCAAAGUAAGCAAACAAAACGCAACCCAAGCAGGAGACAGAGGAGAGUAUUAGAAUAUUUAUUGUUAUCAUAUUUUUUUUGUACUGGUAUGGCUUUAAAGCCCACAGUAUUAAUCUGCGUGUUAUUAUGUUAUCCUCGCAUUCAUUCUAAAGAUGGACAAAUUAGGCAUCUGGCACAAAACUUGUGAUUUUCUUGUUUGUGUAUUUUCUUGGGUUCAGUCGUAAUUUGGUUCAAAAAGCGCCUUAUUGACCUACAGGAGAUAAGAGGUGCAUAAAUCAAAACAGGAUUAUAAUCUCACUCUGGCUCUUGAGCACUGUGUCCUACGCACCUGAAGAGGUUGCCACAUGGGGACCCUGUAACUCUGCUGGGGGACUUCAUUUCUUAUGUGGAUAACAAUGGAGAGAACAAAGGGGUGUGACUGAGCGGACUGGCCUGGAAGGAGUCAGCACAUGGAAUUCAAAUGUCCCUCUGGCCACGGCACACCAAACCGAUAUCAAUCAAUCAAUCAGCAAUGAAGGCCAAGUAUUUCAUCGCUUCACAUUGCUUGUGUUGCUUGAAUGCAACGCAAAGGCUACAGUGGACAGCCAUAUUCAUUUCAAAAGGGGAAAUGGAAGACUCAGGUCUGUGGAUAUACAAACUCUUCAUUUAUGUAAUUUUCACAUGGCUAAUGCUAAUGCAGCCACUUUUUAUGUCUUAGUUGCAAAUGGAACUGGAAAAGAGGUGGAUGCCAAAAAUAAGGAGAAACUCCCUUAAAUGGGUAAAAUCAUGGAUACUUCAGUGACAUGCUCAUGGGGCUUUCUUUUUUGUUCAUUUUUCUUCAUGUGCACUGAUUCGCUGAACUGAAAAGCCAAUCAGAGUAAUAUCUCUUACCAAUGGACUCCAUCACCAAUUCAACAUGCUCAGUCGUCCAAUGGGUUUACUAGUACCACGGGUUCAGGACACACCACAAGAACUAAGGCCACAGACAGACUGACCGACCAUCAGCCUGGUGUAUCAGGACUUUAGCCUCCUUUACACAGGCAAGUGCUUCAAGUUGUGGGCUGAAGGUUGUCAGUGCCUGUCAUGGUGGCACCCAAAGAGCAAACAGCCCUCAAGCUGAAGAUCAAGCGAGAUGUGGUAAGCAAGAGUUGGAGAAGUUAGGGAAGCCAUGGCAUCGACCCUGGCAAACCAUCUAACCUGUGAAAGAGAAGCAAGUCUUUGCUCAAGUGGUCUCAGCUGCUAAACUCAACACGGAAUAUUGUUGGGUUGUCAAAGAACCAUUUUGAGGACCUCCUCAACUCUACCAAAACUCUGCAGUGGCAGAGCACCAAGAUGCUCACUGACAUUGUCGGGAUAUCUUGGUUGACAAACCUCUGUUGUAAAAUACAGAUGUCAGGGACAGUGCUUGUGGACCAGCACAUUCAACAACAUGGUAUGGUUGUUAUGAUAUGGUAACUCAGAGGCUGAGCUUCUGUCUGCGUGUUCCAUUGCUCAACUUUCCACAGGAAAGAUUAUGCUACCCUAAAAGAGGCUCUGACUGACCACCAAACUUUAGAAUUAGCAAUAAUGUGCACUAUUGUGUAUAGGGCAGCUGUUUACUUUUUAAUGACUUAUUUAGGACCAUUUCCUUCUCUGUGUUUUGGGGGAAUGUUGUGAUAAUACAAUGUUUAACGGGCAAUGCAGGGUCAAGCUUUUUCCUUGAAUAAAUGGAAUGAAAACUGUGAAUUCUUCCAACUAGUCAGGCAUUUGACGCCGGUGUGGGUGUGAGGCUUGGCCAAGUACAACUGUCCAGUUUAGUGACCUCAGGAUUAGAUAUCAACUUUGUGCAGAUGAUUUCUCAUCACAACCAUGACCUCCAGUGUUCAGCUGCUUCACAUUGUAAGCUGCUACCUCUUAGUCUGAAGCCAUGGUAAUGGUUGCUCUCAUUUGAGUUGGGAGUCUGUUGCUGCCCAAAAAGAGGUUGUUCAAGUACCAUGCAGUCUUGUCCAUGUGAAAGGGUAAAAUGGAGGGUCAGAUUGGGCUGUGUUGGCAGUGACUUAAUGAUAACAUGACCUUCGUAGAGACAGGAAGAAUGAGAAGUUGCAAAAAGGAUUUUCCUUCUCUUUGGGCUGUCUCUUUGGGAAAGGCUGAGGAGCUUGGACAUAAGGGACAAACCCAGAACACGAAAAAGAUUCAUAUCCCACCUGGUCUAUUAACACUUCUGAUUCCUCGGGAGGAGCUGGAGGACAUACUGUAGCUGAAGAAGAAAAUCAGGGCUCAGUGUCUGAUGUUCUUGGGUCAACUAAAGUAUUUUGGAAACCUGAAGUUUAGGGUUAGUUGGAUCAAUUUACUUGCCUGUCUUGCUAAAGUACAGUUCCAACACUGCUUAAUCACUGGCAGAAAGUGUUAAGAAAGAGUUACUCUUUGAUAUACGAUACAGAUUUACAAAAUUGUCUUCAGUAUUGAUGAAUAUGUGAUUAAAUAAAUAGUUGUAGAUGAUCUAAUUAGCAUCAAUUGAUUACUCUUUUUUUUUGUUGAUGCAGCUGUAGUCCAAUGUCCUCAGUGUCCACUGGUUGCAGCUCACAUGCAAUUUUUUUUUCGCUGCUGUCUUUACACGAUGUAUCUAUUUUCCAUUUCGCUGGACCAGCUUACAUCUCUGAGGUGUAAAUCUUAAAUGUGAAUGCACUUACAUUUCCAUAAUUAUUGAUAGUUACUGAAAUGACCUUGCAUGAAUUGAAAUGUGUUUUUUCUGUUGUUUUAAACUUCACGUCAGAAUUUUUUAGAAUUAUAGGUAAAAGGAGACAAAGACAUCAUUUCUGCUUGAAACAGCAGAUGUUAUUUUAGGAGUAAUUUAUUGCUUGUUGUAUAUACAUUUCAAGCUGAAGUAAGAAAAAGGAGGAUGGAGAGAAAAACUAAAGACCAAGGGAAGGGGAAGAAUAACGGAAAACACUGCAGAAAAAUUCCAGAUUCAAGACAUCUAUAAUGCUUUUGCCUGAACAGAGACAUGCUGUCUUUAAUUGAUGAGGGCAUUGAUAUUCUGUACUUUUGUUACUGUCAGUAAAUCUGA